UGAAAAUUUAAAGGGAGACAGAUGCAAAGUUCAGAUUCAGACUGCUGAAUCACGCGUAAUGCGUAUAAUACGAACGUGUUUUAUUGAAGUAUGUGCUAUAUGUGGCUGCAGUUAUUUUGUUACGCAAUUAGCCUACAAGUGAAUUCUGCAAUGCGUUUCUACAUGCUACUAGGAAACCAUUUCGGUUACAGUCUAUGGGUCAUUCGCCAUUCAGCGAACACGUGUACAGCCUGCCAUCUAGUGGAGAGUCGGGGUUAGUUUUCUCACGUUUCCUUGAUGACUUUUCCCAGACACUUAAUUACACUUUUGUGGUUUUGCUUUCUAAUUUCAACCAAUUUAUGGCUUUUAGGUACACGAGAUGAUUAUGUAAUGACAGAAGUAAAAAAAAAAAAAGUGUUGUCAGGCCUCCUGUAGCUCCUGGGUUUUGAUUAAGGAGCCAUCUGUCCUGUUUGAUUUAAGAUUAAGAACUCCUCCAUCUGAUGUCUUCAGUCUUGAUUAGAUUCUGGAUUAUACCUGAGACAGAACAUGAAGUUCACAACAAAGAUUAUGUGUUUUUCUUUCCCAGUCAGGGGGGUUGUUUAACAAUAAUCAUACAAUAAUUACAUUUCUUAAAAAAUUUCUUUACAAAAUACUGACUCAUAACACUCUUUUUUUCUGCAUACUAUAAAUAAAUGUGAAUUAUGCACAUUGCAUGGGUGAACAACGUUUGUAAAGCCUACAUCUAAAUCAACUUUAUCUUCUGUAACAAAGCGGCUGAAGAGGAUUAUGCUACUGUUGCCACAGAAACUUAGUGACCAGUGGAAAGAGAGAGUGUGUGAGUGGGGGGUGUCCAUGAAGAGGGUAGAAGCAGACGGAGAGGCGAUUCAAUCAGACGUACAGACAACCCUUCGCCCCCACACAGCAGACGGGUUUUAUUGAGGUGACACAGAUUCCUAAAGAGUCCAACAAGUCUGCCACCAUGUUGCACCCUUUAAUCAUCGGCAUUGUGACCGCAAACACCUCUCUGACCGUAUUCUAUUGGAUUUUCAUCCUGGGCGAUGCCUACUUCAGGUGGCUGGACGAGCCAGAAGACAAACCCCAGAAGGUGGUCACCGCAGCCUGAGGGAGACACAGUCAAUAUGGACUGACUGAAUGACUGUGUGUCAUUCCUUUUUGCUUAGAUCUAGUCAGAAACAGCGGUUCAUCUUGUAGUGCUUUCUGUUGAGUCUGCUUUUGCAUUCAAUCUGCUUUUUGUAUUGCAUGGAGAAGAUUUGGAAACCCCUUUUGGUUAACUUACCUUUUUUUUUACUUAACUGAAUUGAUCCUGCAAGUGAAUGAGGAGGGAGUCAUUCUUACAGAGCCAACUGAGCACAGCACGCACCCAUUUGGAAGUCCUUUCAUUCACAAGUCACAGAAAAGAGCUGAGGAGUUUCAAGUCUUGAUUACAAGACUGGAUUCUUGGGCCCAAACCAGUGGAAGAUGAUUCAGAGGAAGGGAGAACAGAAAUAGAAGAAGAGCGGCGACAGAGCGUUUCCAGUAAGCUGAUGGAGAAAGACAAGCUGGAGAUAGAGAAGGAAAAGGCUGGGCCGCUGCCUGGUUUCAACCGGGAAAGCGGAGGCUGCCGCCGUCCAUCCACCCCUCCCCCACUGAAAAGCGCCAUCGCUUCAUCAUACACUGGAGAAAAAAGAACAUCUAUUCAUAGUGUGACAUUCGCCUGCCCCAUGACCCCUUAUGCCACUUCACUUUGAUUUUUGCAACAUUGCUUUUUUUUUUUUACAGCAGUG